GAUUAGCCAAAAUUAGCAGCAGUAUCUGUUCUUCAAUUUAGGUCUAGAUAAUGGUUGUACAAAGUUUCAUUAGAAAUGGAAAUUAUUUAAUGUUCUGGGUACUGAUGAUCUCAUAAUGCACUGAUACUUAACUCUGAAAGGACCAGUCGCAGGCUAAUUGUGAUGGUAGCAAAGACAAUUCCAUAGAUUAUUGUACUGUCCUCACAUUGGGAGUCAUUUAAUUGGAAUACUGUAUUUCAGUGCCAAGAAUUAUAUUGCAGAGUUAAAAAGGCAGGUUUGCUGUAUGCCAGGGUCUUAUCAGUCCUCAACCAAAAUUAUCUACUGUGCUGUCAUGGAAAAUGUUCUUAAAACUCAGGAAAUCUAGGUUCCAAUUUUCUGUUUUUCCUCCUUCCUCCAUGCCAGGAAUUUCACCAGUGAAUGAGCUCAGUGUUAGUUCAGACAUUCCCCUGCAUAUAUAACCUGUAUGAUGCUGAGGGCAGGUUCAUGUGAUCCAAGAAGGAGGUCACUGAAUAACUACCUACUGUUAGGUGGUCCUUGGUUACAUUCUGAGUUACAUUGACAUUUCACCUUGGAAGGUAAUAGAGAAUGUAAAUGAAGCCUAGCUAAGUCUGAUGAACAAGGAACAUUAAGUCUGUAGCUCAGAGGGGGAUAAUGCCUUCUAUUCAAGUGUUGUGCAAUGAGGAUCAGCUGGCCUGUGGAGACUCUUGCACAAGGCCUGGGAGGAAGAGGCGCUCAAGAGAAAAUGGACUGAUGACAUUUGUUUCACAUUCCCUAGGAUUUAGCUGCAGUGGCUCAUGAUGAUAGCACAGGCAGACAAGCAAUGUGUGUCAUGUUUGAGCCUGUUUUCUAGUUUCCUCCAUCAAGUCAAGAAAUAAACAAGCUCUGUGAAGCAGCAAUCUAGAGAUGAACAAAUCCUGUGCCUCCUCACUUAGCUCUCCUAUCACUACCUCUCUUAAGGGAUAAUGAUGUCCAUUUUUCUGGGCAUAUAUUAGAGCCUGUAUAAAGCUACCCCAGGUUAUCAAACCUUUUUCUUUCACUUCUCUUGUCACCAACAUUGUCAGUUGUCACUGAUCUUUCCUCCACUGCCUACCAGUGUUUCCCUAUAGUUGAGGGACUUCUGAAGAAACAAGUGUUAAACAUAAAUGAUGUAAACAGUAACCCUGUUUCCAGUGUGCAAGGGGUUCUUUAAAUUUUUUAAUAGGAAGUUGGUUUCCACUCCUGUUCAAUAAUUUUUCUUAAAAAGGGUUUUAUGUUUGGAGCUAUCUUCUUUCAGCUGGUUAGCUGGUAUUGUCUUCAAACAAUGCUUUGGAAAAAUGUACUUGUUUUGAAAGUUAUCUGCCAUUCUGGACUGAGUAUUGACAGGAAAGAGUUUCAAGGGGGGAAGAAAAGUGAGGUAGCAGGUCAGUUCUGUUGAAUCCUGGUUUAGUUGGUGCAGUUAACUCUACUGAGAGACUUACAUGUCUGAAUGUUGAGGGAAUCUGGUAAUUCUUAAUGAUUAAAAUCUUAUAGACUUGCUUUUCCGGUAAUUGGGGACAUUGGGACACAUUAAAUCCCAUUCAGUAUAUUGGGUCCUUUUAAUGGUGUUCUGCCAUAAAUCACAUUUAUUCUUUGCAAAACAGUAUUUAUGGUGUAUAGUAAAAAUUUCACAAGGUCAUCGAUUGUCUGAUUUCUUAAGGAACAAACUUUGUUCCAUUUUCAAAAAGAAAAAUGGAAAAGAUUUCUUAACCCAUUUGAAAUUAACUUAAAUGAUAAGCAGCAUCUGUGGAGGCUUAAAUUACUUAGCCUUAUGUUUCAUAGAUGUCACCAGCUAGAACUCUGCUUGACAAUAUUUUAAGCAUGACAGUUAACAGCCUGGUUAAAACACAUAUAUUUUGUAAUUUAUAUUAGGUUUGAAAUGUACUUCAGCUUUUAGUUCACCAAACAAGUCUAAAUUUUGUGUGGACCAAUGUGUGCAUUUAAUGUCAUAUAGGGAGUUUCUCCAUCCCUUUCUUGUGGCAUUAAGGAAACAUAAUCAAUAUCUCCAGUCUAAAAGCAAAUAAAUAUUUUGAAAUACAAUUUCAAAGCAAAAGCAUUGCAUAAACUUGAUUUUUUCACAGGCUAUUUUACUAGAAUUAACUCUGUGUGUGUGUGUAUAUAUAUAUAUAAAUUAUUGAAAGAUAUGAUUGACUUCUUAAUCUUACUAAUAUAAUUUAUAAUUUGACUUCUUCCCUAAUUUAUUUAAUAACUCCUAGUUAAUGUGAAAACAGUAAAAUCCAUGCAUGCUGUAUCAUUGCAUGAGGAUCUGACUCCUUGUUUAUUAUUUCAUAGCUCCUAAGCUCAUGCAGUAGGGUGGGAGUGAAGCCUGCUCUCCAAGAAGUUAAGAUAACAAGCAUAAAUCCAUAAGCUGUGGAGGAACUUUGAAGAGCCCAGAAGCAGAACAGAGUUCCUUGCAUGAGUUCAGCAGGUAUUUGCAGAGUUAAUCCCAUGAAACAAAGUUGGGAGACUGGAUUACAAUUUGUCAACAUCAGUUGCCAGAUCUGUAGAGAGAAAAGGGGGAGAAAAAGGUCUUGGCUACCUUCACAUGAGCAUCUGCCUCUACACUGACCCCAGUCCUUCUUCCCAUGUUUAAGUGAUCAGAUGUUUUUGUCCUUCCCCAGCAGCUGUCCAGCACUGCAGGUCCUGCUGACUGAGCCAUGUCUUGGUGACUGAUGAAGAAAGUCACUCUUUCUGGUUAACAGCUGAAAAAUUAAAAGCUGCAUUAUGGAAAUUAAAAAACAGGUAUAAAUAACACAGAUCUCAGAUUUCCAUGCUUUCCUUAUUAUUUUGCAAGCAGCAUAUGUUCUCAGCAUUGAAGCACUUGUACAGUUUCAUCUCUGCAGAUUUUCAGUUUUGUGACCCAGGUGGGUCCAACUAUGGCAACAAGAGCUGAUUUUAUAAUUUGGGCACUGUAACAAAAUGCAGAGAAACUCCCUGUACUUUAUGAAGAACUGAAUUUUAUGAAGAACAGUUCCUGUUUUUUAAGACAAAGCUUCUUUCUCUGUAGAUUGUAAUGAAUUCAAAGUGUUGUAAACAAGAUACUGUUCUGACCCUGAGAAGAGACACUGUGCUACUGUAACAACCUACUCAGAUAAUUAAAGAAAUGUGUAAUGUGAUUUUGUAGAGGUUUCUUCUCAGUUACAGCUAAGAAGAAAAUGUCAACAAACAAAAAAAAUCUGAAAUGUAAUUUUUCCAGAGUUUGGGAAACUUCAUUUGUUCAAAACACUUAGCAUGAUCAGUGAAUCUAUUCUGAUUGAGACAGGAUAACCAGGGACAAUAUUGCUUGUCACAUCCAAUUUUUUCCACAUUCUUCUCUGUACUUUAAACUGCUUUUCUUCCCAGUGGAAAUGUUUGGUUUUGUGAAUGUCUACAAAAUAGUGCUUGCUAGUAUUUCAGGCUAAAGUAUUUUCUGAUUUUAUUGUCUUGAUAUUCAUGAUCUGCACACUUGAUGGAAAAUUAUAAAUGCACUCACCUGUUUGUGAAAGAUCCAAUAGCACAGGCAGCACAGGCAAAACAGUAAAACAUUCUACCUUAGAUGUGGCAAUUAUGGAUGGUAGUGAUGUUUCAAAACAUGAAGCAAGACAGACUUCUUGUGUCGUCUUCCAAGACAGAAAACAAGGUUUAAUGACAGAUAGAGCAUAUUUUUACAAGGAAGGUCACUUACAAAGCUCAGUUUCAAGGUGACGAAUAAAAAACUGGGUAUUUUGGACACAGACAAAUGCGUGCAUAACAUU